rnacentral:rRNA from 1 species
UGGGGAAUAUUGCACAAUGGACGGAAGUUUGAUGCAGCGACGCCGCGUGGAGGGUGUAGGCCUUCGGGUUGUGAACUCCUUUUUUUCGCGAAAAAGGCACAGUUUUGGCUGUGUUGAUGGUAGUGGGGGAAGAAGCGCCGGCUAACUACGUGCCAGCAGCCGCGGUAAUACGUAGGGCGCGAGCGUUGUCCGGAUUUACUGGGCGUAAAGAGCGCGUAGGUGGUUCGGCGCGUCUGUCGUGAAAGCCCGCAGCUUAACUGUUGGUCUGCGGUGGGUACGGGCGGGCUUGAGUGCGGUAGGGGUGACUGGAAUUCCUGGUGUAGCGGUGAAAUGCGCAGAUAUCUGGAGGAACACCGAUGGCGAAGGCAGGUCACUGGGCCAUUACUGACACUGAGGAGCGAAAGCGUGGGGAGCGAACAGG